rnacentral:rRNA from 1 species
UACGUAGGGCGCAAGCGUUGUCCGGAAUUAUUGGGCGUAAAGAGCUCGUAGGUGGCUUGUCACGUCGGGUGUGAAAGCUUGGGGCUUAACUCCAGGUCUGCAUUCGAUACGGGCUGGCUAGAGGUAGGUAGGGGGAGAACGGAAUUCCUGGUGUAGCGGUGAAAUGCGCAGAUAUCAGGAGGAACACCGGUGGCGAAGGCGGUUCUCUGGGCCGUAACUGACGCUGAGGAGCGAAAGCAUGGGUAGCGAACAGG